GCCCCCUCCCUUGGUCGCCGGC
rnacentral:miRNA from 1 species